AGCCCAGCAGAGAGGGAGACUGAGGCAGGGAUGUUGUAGGGACACCCCAAGGGGAUGUUCAGAGGAAGUGACACUAUUACAGGGAGAGAAAUAUAAAAAGGAGGAGACUUAAUCUAAGUGACAAGCCAUGAAAAUGACUUAGCAACAGCUUUUUGAAUGAUGAUGAUGUCAAGUACAGAUAGAUGCAGGUUACAGUAGUUAAAACUAACACUGUAUUGUAAAUAGUUUGUCCACAUCUAACAAAAAAGGAUCACAGUGUUAUACUUUGCAAAUGUCAGCAACUUUUGUAAUAUUUCAUACUGCAACACCUUCCAAGAACGCUAAUAGGUUCUUCUCAUAAGCUUAUUCUUUCACUCUACAAAGAAUGGAAUUAUAUGAGGGCAUAAUGAGGAAGGAUGUGGCUGUGACUUGUGGGCCAUUUUAUGAGCUGCACAGUUGCCAUGGGGGAGACUCUGCAAGCAUCUGAAAAUUUGGUAGGAGGGCGUAGUAUUGAGUGAAGACUAGCUCCUACAAAGUGAAAAUCUUCUGCACAGGCUUCGUACCAAGACUUUUUUCUAUUGCCUUCCUCUGGAAAUCUGCCUACUCAAAAGCGCUUAAGAUAUCCAAGUCAGCUACCUGGGAUGAAAUCCUGGCCCUGAUGAAAAUCUUGCAUUGAGUUCCUUGGGGCCAGGGUUUCUCCCUUUUGUUUUACAAAUAAGAACAAGAACAUGGAUCUAUGGAUUUUUAAACUAAUAAUACAAAACUACAUAUGUAUAAGUAACAAAUUACAGACAAGCUGCAUACUAUCAAAUUCUUCACAAAAAUAAAAUCCUGAAGGGCCCUGUUCUCCUCAACUAAUGAUCCCUUGUGAUCCCAUGUACUGGUGCCUUUUACUUCUUUCUCUUUAGAUAAGACACAAAUGCAUCCCUUAGCACAUGAAAUUCCUUGAUUUUUGUCAUUAAUGUGCAUUUGAAGCAAUUUCAUUACUAAUCUCCUAACAGUGGGGCACAAAAGCUUUUCAGCCUCCUAAGGAUCAAUCUCUUUGAACAUCCAUAGAUAGUUGCAGUCCUGUGUCCCGAUGAAAAGUCAUGUAACAAAUGUAGUUCUGAUUCAGCUAGUGACUUAUGAUUCUUGCGUUUCUAUAACACUUGUGUGAAAAUUUCUAAUAUUGUAAUUACUCCCACUCAUUUAACUGUUAUCUCUCAAAGCAAACAUUUCACUUGUAUCCCCAGCUGUUUGAAAGAUUGUCAUGCACAAGUAGGAUCAGACUUUGAGACCUGG